CCUGCUUCUAGAGGCCCUGCAGUGUAGCUGCUGUAUCACAUGUGCAUCAGUAAGUGGCAGAGAUGAGCAAGGCUGAGUCUUUAUGCUCAUUGACCUAUGAACAUCAGAAUGAUUAGUAGCCUACAUU